AAAGGUCAUGGGGAUACAAUCUUUCUUAAACUUUCAAAUACUUUUAACAAGAAAAAAUAUGUUUUGUUCUUCUUGUUUUCUUUUUGUUUCAUUCUACAGCUUUGCAGUAUCAUUGGAUUCUGAAAACAACUUUACCCCCCGAAAUAAAUUUUCCUGGUGCAUGAAAAAACAUUUUUCUUUAGCACCUCUUCAUUUGGCUUUUUUUGAUUCGAAAAAGGCUGCGCAUCAAGCA
rnacentral:ribozyme from 14 species